GUGGGGAAUAUUGGACAAUGGGCGAAAGCCUGAUCCAGCCAUGCCGCGUGUGUGAAGAAGGUCUUCGGAUUGUAAAGCACUUUAAGUUGGGAGGAAGGGCAGUAAGUUAAUACCUUGCUGUUUUGACGUUACCGACAGAAUAAGCACCGGCUAACUUCGUGCCAGCAGCCGCGGUAAUACGAAGGGUGCAAGCGUUAAUCGGAAUUACUGGGCGUAAAGCGCGCGUAGGUGGUUUUGUAAGUUGGAGGUGAAAUCCCCGGGCUCAAGCUGGGAACUGCCUCCAAAACUGCAUGACUAGAGUACGGUAGAGGGUAGUGGAAUUUCCUGUGUAGCGGUGAAAUGCGUAGAUAUAGGAAGGAACACCAGUGGCGAAGGCGACUACCUGGACUGAUACUGACACUGAGGUGCGAAAGCGUGGGGAGCAAACAGGAUUAGAAACCCGAGUAGUCC
rnacentral:rRNA from 1 species